GUGGAUUUUCCCCUUGCUAUUCUCAUGAUAGUGAGUUCUCACGAGAUCUAGUUGUUUGAAAGUGUGUAGCACUUCCCCCUUCGUUCUCUCUCUCCUGCUCCACCAUGGUAAGACAUGCUUGCUUCCCUGUUGCCUUCCUCUAUGAUGUCCACAGUCUCUACAAGUGGCACCCCAUCUCCAUCCCUCCAGGCAGCCUGUACUCAUGGCUCCUAGCAGAGUUAGAAUACUUGGAUCUGAAUGUCCAGGUUGUAUGAUCACAGACAAAGAGAAGGAACAGAAGACGAAGCUAGCAAGCUUCCCAUGAUUUCACUGCAAUUCAUUACGUGACCUUCUCCAGCCACGCUGGACACCCUUUCACAUUUCCUCCCCAGCAAUCCAGAAGCCCUGCAACAGCCACCUUUAGGAAAUCUUUGCAGUAUUAAUAAAAAUACUUCUCUGAGUGGGGGGCCAAGUACUUUCUAGGCACUACUAAGGAGAAUUACCCAGGCUGGACCAAACUGUAUUUUAUCCAGAUUAAAAAAUAAAUAAUAUUUAUUUAUGACCA